rnacentral:rRNA from 1 species
GACGAACGCUGGCGGCGUGCCUAAUACAUGCAAGUCGAGCGAAGUUUCUCUGGUGCUUGCACUAGAAAAACUUAGCGGCGAACGGGUGAGUAACACGUAAAGAACCUGCCUCAUAGACUGGGACAACUAUUGGAAACGAUAGCUAAUACCGGAUAACAGCAUUAACUGCAUGGUUGAUGUUUAAAAGUUGGUUUUGCUAACACUAUGAGAUGGCUUUGCGGUGCAUUAGCUAGUUGGUGGGGUAAAGGCCUACCAAGGCGACGAUGCAUAGCCGACCUGAGAGGGUGAUCGGCCACACUGGGACUGAGACACGGCCCAGACUCCUACGGGAGGCAGCAGUAGGGAAUCUUCCGCAAUGGGCGAAAGCCUGACGGAGCAACGCCGCGUGAGUGAAGAAGGAUUUCGGUUCGUAAAGCUCUGUUGUUAGGGAAGAAUGAUUGUGUAGUAACUAUACACAGUAGAGACG